UCCUAUCCGUUGUCAAUGUUUGAUCUUGUCUGAUCUCAGAAGCUGAGCAAGACUGGGCUUGGCUAGUGCUUGGAUGGGAGACCACUGGGGGUACUAGGUACUGUAGGUA
rnacentral:rRNA from 1 species